CCCCUAGAUGUUCUGGGCCGCACGCGCGCUACACUGAACAGUUCAACAAGUCUUAACCUUGGCCGAUAGGUCUGGGUAAUCUUUGAACGCUGUUCGUGAUUGGGAUAGACCUUUGCAAUUAUGGGUCUUCAACGAGGAAUUCCUAGUAAACGCAAGUCAUCAGCUUGCAUUGAUUACGUCCCUGCCCUUUGUACACACCGCCCGUCGCACCUACCGAUUGAAUGGUCCGGUGAAAGCUCGGGACGGCGGCUUGGUCGCUUGCGUCCGACUGCUGAAACUUGAUUAAACCAUAUCAUUUAGAGGAAGGUGAAGUCGUANCA
rnacentral:rRNA from 1 species